AUUUUCCAUAUUGCACUGAUAAAGAGUGUUAUAAGCGUUUGGAUGUGCACUUGUAUUUGUGCACCAAAGUGAUAUAAAUGGUUUGCACUAUCUCACUUUAUUGAUACAGUGAGUUAUAUUUGCACUUUAUAAAUAUUCAGCGCACUUAUUUCUCUGUUUUUAUUGGUUUGUUAAUUCUGUGUCCUGUGCUCCACAAGGUCCACCUGGGCGUCAACCUUGUGGGGAAAAACUGUAUAAAAACUCAAGCUGUUCAAUAAACUGUCAGACCUUCUUACCGUCAACUCGCAGCCUCAUCUCGUGUUGUAGGGAACUGCUAUAAUCACAUUGGGAAUUGCAAUACUAUGCAUACUGCCCUGGGUUCUAAUCACUACCUCUUCUAAGAGCUGUUCCUGCUUCGAUCUCUGAAGGAAGUGAGGCUCACCCACUAGAGCGUGGUGCCUUGUCGUAGGUCCAGGGUGGGUAGGAGACGGCGAGACCCCAACCAAGCUGCGGCAGUUCGUUGGGUCUGCAGUGCUUAUGGUGUCUGGUGCCAUGCUGAUGGUCCUUGGUAAGCACUAGGAGG